rnacentral:rRNA from 1 species
AUUGAACGCUGGCGGCAGGCCUAACACAUGCAAGUCGAGCGGAUGAAGGGAGCUUGCUCCUGGAUUCAGCGGCGGACGGGUGAGUAAUGCCUAGGAAUCUGCCUGGUAGUGGGGGAUAACGUCCGGAAACGGGCGCUAAUACCGCAUACGUCCUGAGGGAGAAAGUGGGGGAUCUUCGGACCUCACGCUAUCAGAUGAGCCUAGGUCGGAUUAGCUAGUUGGUGGGGUAAAGGCCUACCAAGGCGACGAUCCGUAACUGGUCUGAGAGGAUGAUCAGUCACACUGGAACUGAGACACGGUCCAGACUCCUACGGGAGGCAGCAGUGGGGAAUAUUGGACAAUGGGCGAAAGCCUGAUCCAGCCAUGCCGCGUGUGUGAAGAAGGUCUUCGGAUUGUAAACCACUUUAAGUUGGGAGGAAGGGCAGUAAGUUAAUACCUUGCUGUUUUGACGUUACCAACAGAAUAAGCACCGGCUAACUUCGUG